rnacentral:rRNA from 1 species
UACGGGGGGGUGCGAGCGUUGUCCGGAAUCACUGGGCGUAAAGGGCGCGUAGGUGGUUUGAUAAGGGUGUGGUGAAAAGUCCGGGGGCUCAACCCCCGGAUCUGCCGUGCCGACUGUCAAACUCGAGGGCUGUAGAGGCAGACGGAAUUCCGGGUGUAGCGGUGGAAUGCGUAGAGAUCCGGAGGAAGACUGGUGGCGAAGGCGGUCUGCUGGGGCAGUUUUCUGACACUGAUGCGCGACAGCGUGGGGG